GGAAAUAAAAGUCGUAACAAGGUUUCCGUAGGUGAACCUGCGGAAGGAUCAUUAUUGUAUAACCGAGGUGCGAGGGCUGUCGCUGACCCGAAAGGUCGUGCACGCCCGAGUGCCCUCACACACAUCCAUCUCACCCCUAUGUGCACCACCGCGUGGGUCCCCCUUUGGCUUGUUCGGAGGGGGGCUUACGUUUUCACACAAACUUUGUAUGCAGUGUAGAAUGUAUUUUUUGUUUUUGCGAUCACGCAAUCAAUACAACUUUCAACAACGGAUCUCUUGGCUCUC
rnacentral:misc_RNA from 1 species